GCUUACGGCCAUACCACCUUAGGCACGCCCGAUCUCGUCUGAUCUCGGAAGCUAAGCAGGGUCGGGCCUGGUUAGUACUUGGAUGGGUGACCGCCCUGGGAAUACCAGGUGCUGUAAGCA
ensembl:rRNA 5S_rRNA 5S ribosomal RNA